rnacentral:rRNA from 1 species
GGUCCCAAGGGUUGGGCUGUUCGCCCAUUAAAGCGGUACGCGAGCUGGGUUCAGAACGUCGUGAGACAGUUCGGUCCCUAUCCUCUGCGCGCGUUGGAAAUUUGAGAAGGUCUGUCCUUAGUACGAGAGGACCGGGACGGACGAACCUCUGGUAUGUCAGUUGUACCGCCAGGUGCAUGGCUGAUUAGCUACGUUCGGGAUGGAUAACCGCUGAAAGCAUCUAAGCGGGAAGCCGGCUUCGAGAUGAGAUUUCCUCGCCCCUUUGAGGGUGUGAGGCCCCCAGCUAGAACACUGGGUUGAUAGGCUGGAUGUGGAAGCGAGGACUGAAGACUCGUGAAGCUGACCAGUACUAAUAGGCCGAUGACUUACACAC